UGGAGAGGUGUCCGAGUGGUUGAUGGUGACGCACUCGAAAUGCGUUAAGGAUGCAAGUCCUUCGGGGGUUCAAAUCCCCCCUUCUCCGU
rnacentral:tRNA from 2 species